rnacentral:rRNA from 1 species
GGUUAAGCGACUAAGCGUACACGGUGGAUGCCUAGGCAGUCAGAGGCGAUGAAGGGCGUGCUAAUCUGCGAAAAGCGUCGGUAAGGUGAUAUGAACCGUUAUAACCGACGAUACCCGAAUGGGGAAACCCAGUGCAAUUCGUUGCACUAUUGCAUGGUGAAUACAUAGCCAUGCAAGGCGAACCGGGGGAACUGAAACAUCUAAGUACCCCGAGGAAAAGAAAUCAACCGAGAUUCCCCCAGUAGCGGCGAGCGAACGGGGAGGAGCCCAGAACCUGAAUCAGCGUAUGUGUUAGUGGAAGCGUCUGGAAAGUCGCACGGUACAGGGUGAUAGUCCCGUACACAAAAAUGCAUAUGUUGUGAGUUCGAUGAGUAGGGCGGGACACGUGACAUCCUGUCUGAAUAUGGGGGGACCAUCCUCCAAGGCUAAAUACUCCUGACUGACCGAUAGUGAACCAGUACCGUGAGGGAAAGGCGAAAAGAACCCCGGCGAGGGGAGUGAAAUAGAACCUGAAACCGUGUACGUACAAGCAGUGGGAGCACCUUCGUGGUGUGACUGCGUACCUUUUGUAUAAUGGGUCAGCGACUUAUAUUUUGUAGCAAGGUUAACCGAAUAGGGGAGCCGUAGGGAAACCGAGUCUUAACUGGGCGUCUAGUUGCAAGGUAUAGACCCGAAACCCGGUGAUCUAGCCAUGGGCAGGUUGAAGGUUGGGUAACACUAACUGGAGGACCGAACCGACUAAUGUUGAAAAAUUAGCGGAUGACUUGUGGCUGGGGGUGAAAGGCCAAUCAAACCGGGAGAUAGCUGGUUCUCCCCGAAAGCUAUUUAGGUAGCGCCUCGUGAACUCAUCUUCGGGGGUAGAGCACUGUUUCGGCUAGGGGGUCAUCCCGACUUACCAAACCGAUGCAAACUCCGAAUACCGAAGAAUGUUAUCACGGGAGACACACGGCGGGUGCUAACGUCCGUCGUGAAGAGGGAAACAACCCAGACCGCCAGCUAAGGUCCCAAAGUCAUGGUUAAGUGGGAAACGAUGUGGGAAGGCAUAGACAGCCAGGAUGUUGGCUUAGAAGCAGCCAUCAUUUAAAGAAAGCGUAAUAGCUCACUGGUCGAGUCGGCCUGCGCGGAAGAUGUAACGGGGCUAAACCAUGCACCGAAGCUGCGGCAGCGA